CCUGUUCUAUUGUAAUUGCAGCUGUCAAUGGUAGAAUGGUAGCUCUUUGUGAGAACUUGAGAAAAAAAAGUCACCCAUUCCACUUCUACAACAAAGUUAUGUUAAAUGAUCAUUCACCAAGAAUAAGUCACACAAGAAGAAUCCUUCAUCUUCAAAGUGUUCUAUUAAUGCUGGUGGUGAGAAGUCUGGAUUAAAAAGAAUAUUCCUGGCUAGAAAUCAGUCUCAAAGCACUACCUUUCAUGAGAGUCAAAGCGUCAGCUGGUAUUCCGUAAACUCCAAUGAAAAUUGUGUGAAAUUGUAAUAAACAAUUUUAACACACUUGAGGCAAUUGUUUAGUCAGCUGUAUCUCUCACAUAUGCAACCAGUAUGCUUCUUCUUAUC